CCAGUCAACUCCAAUCUGUUGUUCUGGUUACAUAAACAUUGAAAACAGGUGUACAGAAUGUGUUGGGUUCUACGGAAAAGAUUGUUCUAAAGAGUGCCCAUGUGGAUUUUAUGGAGUAUCAUGUAAAGAAGAAUGUAAAUGUAAAGAAACAGAAACGUGCGAUCCGUUUGCAGGAUGUGUUGACAUUAAUGUCAAAUGUACAUGGAAUGCCAGUGAUCCCAGAAACAGACUGGAAAGCCGUAUUACGAGUAAAUGUCCAAGUAAGUGUAUUGGUUUGAAUAUACGAAAUAGUACUG